GGAUUGUACUCGCCGUUAUACAUUUUUAUCUCCAGUUAUUAUCUUUUGGACAGUGCAUUAAUAUCCAUACCGUUUUCUAGUGGACGAAUUUACAUUAUUUUGUGCCAUUUUCUGCAUGGCUUUUGUAUAAUGAAAUAAGCAUCGGUUUUACUAUUCCAUUUACCUUCCAUGCUAAUUUUCCCCGUCUAAUUAAUAUCAUACAUAUACUUCUGCUUUUCUAUAUAAUCUUAAUGUGUUAUAGCGGAUAGGAGGUAUACUUUAAACUAGACUGGGCGAUUGUAUAGCAUGUUGUGCCAAGAAUAACAAAAAACAAACAAAGGAAAUGUAAUGUGCUUUAGUUGUGAAAAUUGUAUCCACCGAGUGCCGGUAACAACAACAGCAUUUAUUAAGGUCGGCAAAUUUGUCUCGCAGUAAAGUCCUACACUAACUCACAAAAAUCAUAUAGAGUUAUACCUCAUAGCAUAACUUAUACAGUCGCUUUACCUAUAUCAGUUGAACACAGACAUUAUUUGAGUGCUGUUUUGCGCGAUGCGUGUUGAAGUAUUCUCUAUAACAGUAAGAACUAUGCUAUAACUCCAAUGAGGUACUUUCCCAUGAUCCUCAAGAUAAUUAUCGGAUGUCAUAGGUUAAAAUACAAAAUGUUUUACAAUUACACCAUGGCUAUGCGUAUUUACAAGUGUUCCAUCGACAACACUGAGCUAUUUGCAUAUAAAAUGGUAAAAAUCUACUACUUUUAUACAGUCGACCUCAACCCUGGAUACUCAUACAUACUCUUGAUUCCGUCCCUUGUUAGAUCACGGAAUUAACUGGUACCAAGCCCACAUAAAUGAGCCAACAGAAUUCAUUUACUGGGACAUUACACUGUUCAAUGGUAAUUACACUGACUCCCGUAAGUAUCUGAUAGCCUACAUAGCUACCCACUAAUCGUAUCACGUAAACACUACUCAGGGUUAGUCGCCGUGUUUUCUUGCUUCGACCCCCUGACUUCUGUCUUGACCUCCACCCCUGGUCAAUAGAGCCAGGAAAAAAGAGGUUUACACUGACCAAUUCAAUGGAAGACGUAUGAUAUCCUCAACAAUAUCUACAUGAACAAUAUUGUGUAACAACUAUAUGUAACGUAUCCAUACUGCAUCAUACAUACAGGGAGCUACGGCAUCUGACACAUUGGUCUUACAUUUCAUCCAGACCCACAGGUAGAUUGAAUGGGUAGGUUUCUUAUAACUGCUCUACUCAAAACAGAGAAAUUAGAUUUAAGUUUCUUUCAAAUAUGAUUGUUAUAAACAAAAACAAACAUGUUUGAAAACGUGAUCACAAAACGACAGCCAACGCACAGCAUUUCAAAGAUCAUGUUUACAGAGUAGAUUCUAACCAAACUUAUCUUAUCACGCUUUAUUGGAGCCUUCGGGGUCUGGAACCAUGCCAUCCUCAUACAAGCCGCACACCAUUAUUGCUUAUUUAAAUACACUUCUUUGGAUUGGAAUAACACCACACAAUCAUUCACCCAUUACCAACGUCAUCUGGUAUCGUAAGCAGCAUACAUUACGAACAUCACGUCCCACAUUCCAAACUAUCGUCUAGAAAACUAGCUAUCGCUAGAGACUACCUGUGUUUAAAUGUCACAAUGUCACCUAUACUCUAGCCCUACAGAGUGAAUCUAAUACACUAAUCAUUGACGGUAACAGAAGUUACUGGUCACUAUGAUUGUGUUGGAGUUAGUUACUGCGAUUCAAACUGAUAAUGGUUUAUGUAAAUUACAACUGUUUUAUUGGUUUUCAAAGUUAAGGAUGAAAUAUUGGUUUCGGUUUCUAUCGACGAUGUGGUGAUAUAAUGUGAUGUUAGUUACUGUUGUGAUGGAUGUGAUCUUAUAUCGGUUGUUAUGGUUAUAGAUGUGUAGGUUAUGAUUUCUAUUGUGACGUAUUAGGUUAUGAUUUCUAUUGUGACGUAUAAGGUUAUGAUUUCUAUUGUGACGUAUUAGGUUAUGAUUUCUAUUGUGACGUAUUAGGUUAUGAUUUCUAUUGUGACGUAUUAGGUUAUGAUUUCUAUUGUGACGUAUUAGAUUAUGAUUUCUAUUGUGACGUAUUAGGUUAUGAUUUCUAUUGUGACGUAUUAGGUUAUGAUUUCUAUUGUGACGUAUUAGGUUAUGAUUUAUAUUGUGACGGAUUAGGCUAUGAUUUCUAUGGUGACGGAUAAGGAUAUUAUUUCUAUACUGACAGGUAAGUAGUUGGUUUCUGUAGGUAUAGAUUUGGUGUUAGGUUCUGUGGUGACGCAUUUUAUGUUAGUUUCUAUGGUGAUGGAUUAGGUUAUGAUUUCUAUGGUGUACAUAUUUGGUGUUAGUUUCUGUGGUGACUGAUUAUAUGUUAGUUUCCAUGGUGACGGAGUUGGUGUUGAUUUCUGUGGUGAUUGACUGGGUGUUGGGUGCUGUAGUGAUAUACAUGGCUUUGGGUGUCUGUGGUACGGAUGCUGUGUUAAUUUUACGGUGAUAGAGGGAGUAAGGUUGAUUGCAUUGUGGUAAUCAAUGUGGUUUUGGUUAUUGUGGUGUUAAGCUGGAGGUGAUUGCCGUAGUGGCAGUGUUUGUUAAAACAGUACUUGAGGUAUUGUGGGUGGGCCAGUAAUGUUAUCCCUGUGACACAUGACUGACGAAUGUAUGUACAGUAAUAAUAAAGACUAUAUAUAAUUAA